CCCGCUAAAUUUAAGCAUAUCAAUAAGCGGUGGAAAAGAAACGAAAACGAAUUCUCCGAGUAGCGGCGAGCGAAACGAGAAAAGUCCAUACACCGAAGUCGGCGAGCAGUGCUGUUCGUCAACAGUGUGGUGUUAAAGGUGUCGUUGCAUGUGCUGAAAUCAGUUCGUAGGCUCCCUUGAUUGGGGCUUCAGAGCGGGUGCAGGACCCAUAACGAACGAUUUUUUGUGCAUGGUGUCGCGGCGCUAUGUCGAGUCGGGUUGCUUGAGACUGCAGCCCAAAGCGGGUGGUAAAUCUCACCCAAGACUAAAUAUUCGUACGAGACCGAUAGCGAACAAGUACCGCGAGGGAAAGUUGAAAAGAACUCUGAAGAGAGAGUUCAACAGGACGUGAAACCGUUGACAGGCAAACGGAUGGAGCUGACGGUGGAAAUUUGACCAAAAUCAGUCGUUGCUUGGUUUGUUGGCGAAUGAAUCUUUUGUGCGAGCUUUUGUUUGCGGAGAUGCGCGUUUGUUUCGAAUCAACGCACGGUGCACUUUUGGUCAAUCAGCGUCACGAGCAACGUUCGAUUUGUUCUGUGUGCCGACAGUGCUGCUGUUUGUUGCUCUUCAAAAAGCAACAAACAAUAAAGGCGGUGUUUUCUUGGAAGAGGUAGUGAAUGAUUGCGCUUUUUUGGUGCUUUUUCUCAUUGCCGUGCCAGUGCCGCAGCUGUCGGAUGAAUGUUGUCAUUUCAAAGUUGAAAAACAUUGUUUCGCGUUGUGUUGCAUUGGGUCUGUUGGUGCCGUUGCGUUCGUGUGUUUCGGCAUGCGAUUGAACUGGUUGGUCGGGAAAAAAGUCAAUUAUGAAUGUAAUUGAUCUGACUGCCGUGCGUGAUGGUAUUCUCUCUCAUGUGUUUGAUGGACUUUAUUUGCAACCAAACGCUCGAUGUUUUUUUACAUCUGUGGCGUCAAUGUUAGCCUCCCAUCCGACCCGUCUUGAAACACGGACCAAGGAGUUCAGUAGGCACGCGAGUCGUUGACGUUGUGCAUUGAACAGUCGAAGGCGUAAUGAAAGUGUGCAAGAAAGUGAAUUGUACAUUUUUUUGUACUGUUUGCUUUCAGCAUGAUCGUCCUUUGUUUUGUUUGGGUGCUGCUUGAAUUUUUUCGGGCCACCUUUCUUAAUUUGGGGACGCGCAGUGUGGUGCCGUUGAAUAGUCGCACUGUUUCUCCUUCUCUUCGGGGUUGGAGGGACAAUUGUCGAUCAGUCGGUUUCGGAGCGUGCACACUGGUACCCGAAAGAUGGUGAACUAUGCUUGAGCAGAAUGAAGCCAGAGGAAACUCUGGUGGAAGUUCGUAGCGGUGUUGACGUGCAAAUCACUCGUCUGACUUGAGUGUAGGGGCGAAAGACUAAUCGAACCAUCUAGUUGCUGGUUCCUUCCGAAGUUUCCCUCAGGAUAGCUGGCAUUUGUGUGUAACAAUUUUAUCCGGUAGAGCGAAUGAUUAGAGGUGUUGGGAACGCAAUGUUCUCAGCCUAUUCUCAAACUUCGAAUGGGUAAGCAAGGCGAUUUGCUUUGAAAUCUUGUGUUGAAAUCGCCCAUCCAAUUUGUUGAAGAAUGUAUAAAUGCCUAGUGGGCCAAUUUUGGUAAGCAGAACUGGCGAUGUGGAAUGAACCAAAAGUCAGGUUAAGGUGCCAGACAUUGGCGCUCAUGAAAUACCAGAAAAGGUGUUGGUCGAUAUAGACAGCAGGACGGUGGCCAUGGAAGUCGGAAUCCGCCAAGGAGUGUGUAACAACUCACCUGCCGAAUCGACUAGCCCUGAAAAUGGAUAGCGUUUGAGCGCCAGGCCCAUACCUGACCGUCUCAGCUACGCACUUUCGUUGCCGGUUUCUCUCCGGUGAAGGUGUAAUGAACGUUGAGACGGGUAGGAAGGUCGCGACAGUGUUGCUUUGAAGAGUUUUGAGCGUGAGCUCGCUCGGAGCCGCUGUUGGUGCAGAUCUUGGUGGUAGUAGCAAAUAUUCAAGUGAGAACCUUGAAGGCUGAAGUGGAGCAAGGUUCCAUGUGAACAGCAGUUGGACAUGGGUCAGUCGAUCCUAAGAAAACGGCGAAAGCUUGUUCGAAUUUACGACAUAAAAUUUAAAACUGUGUGUGUGUGCAAAAGAAAGUAGUGUAGUGUUUCAAUAGCAGUAGUGGUGGUGGUGGUGUGCCGUCGCCGAAACUACUUUUGCUGUUGUUGCGUUGCUACUACUAUCUUAAUAUUUUUGUUCUGUGUGCAGUUGUCGUAUGUUUUCGAAAGGGAAUCCGGUUGAUAUUCCGGAACCGAGUAACGGAGACAAAGAGUAGCGCUUUAAUCUCUUUCGGGUUGGCGUUCAACUCAAUCGCGCGGUAACGCAAGCGAACUCGGAAAAUGACCGUCGUGAGUUUCGAAAAGAGUUUUCUUUUCUUUUUAAGGGACGCAUUCCCUGGAACCGGGUUGUCCGGAGAUAGGGAUUCUGGUAUCCAUAAAACGCCGACUCUUUCACGGUGUUCGGAGCGCUCUCGUCGGUACGUGAAAAUCCGAGCGACGCCUGGUAAAUCUCGUACUUGGUCGUACUGAUAUCCGCAGCAGGUCUCCAAGGUGAAUAGCCUCUGGCC
rfam:Trichinella papuae scaffold186s, whole genome shotgun sequence.